rnacentral:rRNA from 1 species
UCGCACCUACCGAUUGAAUGGUCCGGUGAAGCCUCGGGAUCGCGGCCACUGCCUUUGCUGGUGUCGGUUGUGAGAACUUGUCUGAACCUUAUCAUUUAGAGGAAGGUG